UGUGUGUGUGUGUGUGUUUGAGAGAGAGAGAGAGAGACAGAAGAUAGAAAGGCGGAGAGGCCUGUAAUGACGUGAGAGCUCCCGCCUGAACCACAUGAUUUGAGUGGGGCCUGGAUGGGGAGAAGAGCAUUUCCCGAUAUGGAGAGAUGCUGGACAAAAGGAAAAAUAAAGUCCGCUAAAGAGGGGGCCAUGUUCUGCAACGAUUUAAAGGAAAAGUAUGAGAAAAGGAUCAUUAUUAAAGGGGUUGAUGCUGAGACCAUGCACACUCUGCUGGACUACACGUACACCAGCAAGGCGCUGAUCACCAAGCAGAAUGUCCAGCGGGUCCUGGAGGCUGCUAACCUCUUCCAGCUGGAUGUAAGGACUUCUCAAAAACUGCUCAAGAAGCCAGGAGCGGUGGCUCACGCCUGUAAUCCCAGCACUUUGGGAGGCUGAGGCAGGCGGAUCACUGGGUCAGGAGAUCGAGACCAUCCUGGCCAACAUGGUGAAACCCCGUCUCUACUAAAAAUAGAAAAAUUAGCUGGGCGUGGUGGCGUGCGCCUGUAGUCCCAGCUACUCAGAAGGGAGUCGAUUGAACCUAGGAGGCGGAAGUUACAGUGAGCUGAGAUCGCACCACUGCACUCCAGCCUGGUGACAGAGUGAGACUCCAUCUCAAAACAAAAACCAAACAACCAAACAAAAAAAAACUGCUCAAGACUCCAACAGAAAUUACUUGGUCUCCUUCCAAGCAACACUAAGAAGCCCAAUCCUGGCUCUUGGAAAUGGUGUGGGCCAAGAGAGGAGGAAAUAUUUCACAGGCUAAUACUAAUAAUUGCUUUAUUUUAUAGGUGCCUGAUGAAGUGCCAGGCACCUACUAUGAUAUACUAUGUACACACAUGAAUUUCUGUUGUCAUGGACAGAGACUCACAGAUUAUAUCUAUUCAACACCAUAGAAGCCAGUCAAUCUAGGGAAGAAAACCAGCUGGAUUAUUUCCUUGCUAUCAUCUACAUAAAAUCAGCCUGUUGACUAUUUGAUGCACUCCCUCUCACACUAACAUUUGGUCAACCAGUGUUGCUGUGUGGCUACUGUAAGCAUUAAGCAAUCAGGGUUAGUCUACUGGGUCCACAUGAGAGCCACAGUGGCCCUUUUCAGAGCAUUCACCAGGUAGCAACUUUUUUUUUUUUUUGAGACAGAGUCUUGCUCUGUUGCCCAGGCAGAGGUUGCAGUGAGCUGAAAUCGCACCAUUGCACUCCAGCCUGGACGACAGAGUGAGACUCCAUCUCAAAAAAAAAAAAAAAUCAGGUAGGUCUUUUUACCCUCAAUGUAUAGAGGAGGGGCAUAAAAUUCAGCAAUGUUAAGGAAACGCUCAAGUCUUCACAGCUACUAAGAGGGGAGCCUGGAUUUGACUCCUGUGGCCCUGUGCGUAGCCUGUGUGUUCUCCACUGCACAUGUUCUGUCCAUGCCUCAGAGUGACGCCUGAAACAAGCCAUCACCCUGAAGGCAGCUAGGGCCUCCGGGGAGGGUGUCCUCAGGCAGGACUGCCCAGUGCAAUGUUCUGAGAACCAGCAGUGCUCUGUGCGAGUGUGUCGGGGGCAAGACUGGCCCAGCACCCUCUGGGGAACCUUGGAUGCCUGGGGCCACCUGUAGGGGAAAGAAAGAGAUCAGACUGUUACUGUGUGUGUGUGGAAUGAAGAAGACAUAAGAAACUCCAUUUUGUUCUGUACUACGAAAAAUUCUUCUGCCUUGAGAUGCUGUUAAUCUGUAACCCCAGCCCCAACCCUGUGCCCGCAGCAACAUGUGCUGUGUUGACUCAAGGUUUAAUGGAUUUAGGGCUGUGCAGGAGGUGCUUUGUUAAAAAUGUGUUUGCAGGCAGUAUGCUUGGUAAAAGUCAUCGCCAUUCUCCAGUCUCGAGAGUACCCAGGGACAGAAUGCACUGCGGAAGGUCACAGGGACCUCUGCCCAAGAAAGCCUGGGUAUUGUCCAAGGUUUCUCCCCACUGAGACAGCCUGAGAUAUGGCCUCAUGGGAAGGGAAAGACCUGACCGUCCCCCAGCCCGACACCCGCAAAGGGUCUGUGCUGAGGAGGGUUAAUGAAAGAGGAAGGCCUCUUUGCAGUUGAGAUAAGAGGAAGGCAUCUGUCUUCUGCUCGUCCCUGGGAAUGGAAUGUCUCGGUGUAAAACCCGAUCGCACAUUCUAUUUACUGAGAUAGGAGAAAACCGCCUUAUGGCUGGAGGUGAGACAUGCUGGUGGCAAUAUUGCUCUUUACUACACUGAGAUGUUUGUGUAAACUCAAACAUAAAUCUGGCCUACGUGACAUCAAGGCACAGCACCUUUCCUUAAACUUAUUUAUGACACAGAGACCUUUGCUCACACGUUUUCCUGCUGACCCUCUCCCCACCAUUACCCUAUAGUCCUGCCACAUCCCCCUCACUGAGAUAGUAAAGAUAGUGAUCAAUAAUUACUAAGGAAACUCAGAGACCAGUGUCGGCGCGGGUCCUCCGUAUGCUGAGCGCUGGUCCCCUGGGCCCACUGUUCUCUCUCUAUACUUUGUCUCUGUGUCUUAUUUCUUUUCUCAGUCUCUCAUCCCACCUGAUGAGAAAUACCCACAGGUGUGGAGGAGCUGGCCCCCUUCACCACCAAGCAUCCCCAGAAUGAGUCUGCUGCUAGCCAUUUAACAUCUCUUUUGUCUUUAUAUUUCUCGGUGUUUGAUCUCAAUUGUUUAUGCUUUUAUUUUUAGGUAUAACUUGCAUUUAGUAAAAUGUACACUUCUUAAA
rnacentral:sRNA from 1 species